AGCUUUCUGAAUCUGCGCUGUGAUUUCAUCAAACACUAGCCGACAAAGACGGACGAGAUAUCUGAGAUAAGGAAGGCG
rnacentral:pre_miRNA from 1 species